ACAGUCGACGGCCUGGCCCCCUCGCCCUGCCUCCCCCGGCGGGGUGAAGCUGGGACUCAGAGCUAGCCGCGCCGCAGCGCAGAGAAGCCGGGGAAGCCAGCCGCCGCAGCGUCCCCGCCGGCGGGACGCGGAGACAGGGAGCAGCCGCGGCGCUCUCCUGCCGCAGCCCUGCCGGCGCAGUGCGGUGAGGGGCGGUGGCACCGCGGCGGCGGGGAGCCCCCGGGGGGCGGUUGGGCAGUGGGGCCAUGGCGCUGCGGGCCCGGGCGCUGUACGACUUCAGGUCGGAGAACCCGGGGGAGAUAUCGCUGCGAGAGCACGAGGUGCUGAGCCUCUGCAGCGAGCAGGACAUCGAGGGCUGGCUGGAGGGGGUCAACAGCAACGGCGACCGCGGCCUCUUCCCGGCCUCUUACGUGCAGGUGAUCCGCGUCCCGGCCGCCGAGCCGCCGCCCGCCCGCUACGCCAACCUCCCCGCCGGUGGCUUCGAGCUGCUGCCGCCCCCCGCCGUCUUCAAGCCGGCGGCGGCGCCCGAGCCCUUCUCGCUGUCCCCCGCCGCCGGGUAUCCCUUCCCGCUGGCGCCCUACGGCAGGUCCUACCAGCCCAGCCAGGGCAGCGAUGACGACUGGGACGAUGACUGGGAUGAAAGCUCCACGGUGGCCGAUGAGCCAGGUGCUCUGGGCAGCUCCUACCCCAACUACGAGGCAGCAGGCAGCUGGGCCUCUGGCCACUACUGCCUGUCUACGCGGUCCGAGUUGUCCCUGAGCUCCCGUGGUGGCCAUAUGGCAGGCCACCUGCACCCGCCUGGCAGCGGCGCCAAGAGCUCAGCCACAGUGAGCCGCAACCUCAACCGCUUCUCCACCUUUGUCAAGUCUGGCGGGGAGGCCUUUGUGCUGGGUGAGGCAUCAGGCUUUGUAAAGGAUGGGGACAAGUUGUGUGUGGUGCUGGGCCCCUGGGGCCCCGAGUGGCAGGAGAACCCCUACCCCUUCCAGUGCUCUAUCGAGGACCCCACCAAGCAGACCAAGUUCAAGGGCAUGAAGAGCUACAUCGCCUACAAGCUGGUGCCCAGCCACACCAGGCAGCAGGUGCACCGCCGCUACAAGCACUUUGACUGGCUCUAUGGGCGCCUGGCUGAGAAGUUCCCUGUCAUCUCUGUGCCCCACUUGCCGGAGAAGCAGGCCACCGGACGCUUUGAGGAGGACUUCAUCUCCAAACGUCGCAAAGGCCUGGCCUGGUGGAUGGACCACAUGUGCAGCCACCCUGUGCUGGCUCAGUGCGAUGCCUUCCAGCACUUCCUCACCUGUCCCAGCACAGAUGAGAAGGCCUGGAAACAAGGCAAGCGCAAGGCUGAGAAGGACGAGAUGGUGGGUGCCAACUUUUUCCUGACCAUCAGUGUCCCCACUGGCCCUGGGGCAGGCCUGGACUUGCAGGAGGUGGAAAGCCAGGUGGAUGGCUUCAAAGCCUUCACAAAGAAGAUGGAUGAGAGCACCCUGCAGCUUAAUCACACGGCCAACGAGUUUGCCCGCAAACAAGUCACUGGUUUCAAGAAGGAAUACCAGAAGGUGGGGCACUCCUUUAAGUGCCUCAGUCAGGCGUUUGAGCUGGACCAGCAGGCCUUUUCGGCUGGCCUCAACCAAGCCAUAGCCUUCACUGCAGAAGCCUAUGAUGCCAUCGGGGACCUCUUUGCAGAUCAGCCCCGGCAGGACCUAGAUGCUAUGAUGGAUUUGUUAGCACUGUAUCAGGGGCAUUUGGCCAACUUUCCAGACAUCGUCCACGUCCAGAAAGUGCUAGACCUAAAAGAUGCCUUCUUUGUAUCCCCUUGGAAGAAGAAAGCCAGAAGAUAUUUGCUUUUGAAUGGGAAAGUCCUACCACAGGGAGGAAAAUACAAUUCUGCUGGACCGUGCUGCCACAAGGAUUCAAGAAUAGCCCGACAUUGUUUGGUAAUGUACUUGCCAAGGAAUUGGAAAAUUGGCAAGAUGGAAGUAGCUUCAUGGUGAAUUGGGAACGGAAAGCUGGGUAUGCCGUGGUAACCCUACAAGAGGAGGUUGAAGCACGAGUAUUGCCACCCAAUACCUCCGCUUAGAAAGCAGAGAUCAUAGCUCUAACUCAAGCUUUGGAGCUAUCCAGAGAUAAAAAGACUCGUCAGUACAUGAAUUUCAACCUGGAGAUGCAGUUUAUAUCCGCACCUGGAAAGAUGAGCCUUUGAAAGAAAAAUGGAAAGGACCUUACCUGGUGCUACUUACCACUUAUACUGCUGUGAAAGUGAAAGGUAUAGAUUCAUGGAUACACUAUACCCACGCGAAGAAAGCUCCACAGAAGGAGUGGAUCUCUGAAGAAACGGGACCACUGAAGCUGAAACUCUCGGUCCCAGUGAACUGUAACUGGGACUCUGAGAAGUCAUAUAUUGAGCUAGAUUGCUAGAUUGUACGCAAGGCCUAGUAUCUUUGUAUUGCAUUUUGAUAGUUAUUUUCAUACCUUUGUUAGUGUAUUUGUGUAAGUAUACAGAUUUCUUUAGAAAAGAAAUGAAGGAACUAAGGGGGGUAAUAUUCCUCUGUUGCCUAUGGAUAUGGAUAAAGUUAAAAGAUGCCCGAGUGUCUUGUGGGGAACCAGGAAAUCCAUGGGAAAAGAACUUGCAUUUUGAAUUAUUGCAGAAAACAGUACAAAUGGCGAUCAAGUCUAAUUUUUGGAUCUGUACUCAUUUCCCCGAGCAUUCUAACAAAGGUGUUCCUUUAAUAGGAAUACUCCUCAAUUUCUCUUUCCCGGAAUUUGUAAAGUAUGUGCAGAAUAACAAUGACCAAACAUACGAUGAUACAAUAGAGCAAGAAUGGAAAGUUCACAAUCUACCAGGAAAUUAUUAUCAAUGUCUAGAGAGAUGUAAUCAUAACACAGACUGGCCACCAAGACCUAAACUUAAUUGUACUGGAGCUAUAUAUGUAGGAGAACAUGCAGAUUGUUCCAAAGGUACAUUUGAAAUCUGAUACCGAAGUUGGUCUGAAAAACAAAGAACUGGCUGGCGGGUUCUGAAGGGAAGUGGUUGGUAUUGGCUUUGUGGUGACAAGGCUCAUAAAACCCUACCUCCUAAUUGGUCAGGAACAUGUACCUUAGGAGCAGUAGUACCUAAUAUCACAAUAAUUGAAAAUUUAGGAUCUCAAAUAUGGACGAGAACCUACCUUCGAAGGAGUAAAAGAACUGCUAAUCCAUUGAUUGAUAGACCCACAGGAUUUCACUCCUUCGUGAGGUGGUUUAUUCCCUGGUUAGGAGUUAGCGAGUUAGAGAAAGCUAUAGUAAAUAUUUCAGUCAUAAUUGAGAAAAUUGGGAACGAGACUUACGAUGCUAUAAAAGCCCUACAAGAAGAAGUGUCUGAAUUGGCUAAAAUUACUUUACAAAAUAGAAUGGCUCUUAAUAUGAUGCUAACCUCCCAAGGAGGAGUGUGCACAGUUCUAAAUACUGGUUGCUGUGUAUAUGUGGAUCAGAGUGGUAGAAUUUCUACAGACUUAGAAGAAAACUGGAAACAAACUAAAAUACUUCAUGAAAUACAAAAGGAUGACACAUCUUACAGGUUUGAAGAAACGUUUAAGUGGUUGACUUCCUGGUUCCCCAAUUUAAGUUUGUGGGUAAAAAGGUUAUUGAACUAUAUAAUAAUUGCUUUAAUAGCUUUUGUGUGUAUUUAUGCAUUGGUAUCUUGUGUUACUAAAUGUUGUUCUAAGGUUUAUGAGAAAAUAAUUUGAGGUGAGACUGAUAUAAGAGAAACCACAUUGAGGUUCCUCUUUUAUAAUCUCAGAGGGGGGAAAUGUAGUCAUAUGUUUGAGUUACGGCCUAGCUGUGGUGCAAUUCAGGGUUAAACAUGAUGCAUUGUCCUUUAAGGAGGACCAGUACUCCAUAGCUUCACUAUGCAAGCCUGAUUACUUUGUAUAAACUAUGCAUGCUUUGCUAAUGACUAUGCCCUUGGAGAGGGAACUAAAGACUGAUAAAAGGAAACAUCCUGCCCCAGAAGGCACUGGGAAGGCCGGAUGACUGCUGAAGAAGCAUGAACUAAGGGAAAGGUAAAGGUGGCAGGGGGAGAUCGUGACCACCGACUCAAUUCAAGGCUGGAAGAACUUGCCCCCCCCACCUGCAAGGAGCGUGCAUGCUAAUUUAAAUAUAACUGACCAAUAGUAGAUGAGAGGGUGACUACUAACCAAUGAAUGUAAAUUUAGGCAGGUUUUUACUGAUCAUGUAACAGAAUAAAUACAUUGCAGUUCUUUGGUGUGGUGUGCCAGCUUUGUGGAGUCACCACCUGGCACCCAUCUCUGCGCAGACAUGAAAUAAACAAAUAUCUUGGCUCUGUGUGUAAGAUUGGCUCAUUGCACACUGGGUACUGAACCCCGCUUAUGGGACAACAGAGCCAGGCCCUGCCACCACCUCAGAGCCCCCGGGGAGAGUUGCUACUCUUGGCCUCCAGUCAGCUCUUCAGAGCACCGGGUUCAGAGCGUGGCCUCUGCCACUCAAAUACCAGUGUCUUCAGCCAUGUAGUCUUCAGUCUACACUUACCUUCUUAAUAACUUCCCUGCCACAGUUCAAAAUAGAAAAGGAAAAUCUUCUGUAUGGUCUUACUGCAAGUAUGUCCCACUGGAGGGGAAUUUCUUAUACUUGCGACUCAGAGCUCGUACCAGGACUGCAGACAGGAGAUGCCACGUAGAGCACAGCCUAAAUGUAAAUUAAGGAGAAAAAUAUGAUUUUAAGAGUAGAGAAAUACUGAUAACAGAGGAAUUAUUUUCCAAGUAUUUGCUAUUAAAAACACCCCCCGGCCCAGUUAACAAGUUGUUGUUAGAAGUUGAGUGAAGAAAAAUCAUGCAUGCUUCUCUGAAUUUAGGAAUUCCAGAUUUUAUUUAUAAUGCAAGGCACAACCCCCAUUACAUUUCAAAAAUGCAACAAACUCUUUUUCCACAAGUCUGCCAAAUCAGCUGGUAUUUUAACUUGCCUCUAGUAAGAGCAUACCUUGACCCUCCAUUCUAUCUGACUGCCUGGUGAGGGGUUGGAGAUGGGCAGGGGAUAAGCUGCAGCAGGAAGGGGAAUGUGAGAAGCGGGAAUGAAAUGCAGUGAGCAGCAGCUGUGCUGCCCGCUUCCCUCCCAACUUGCUGCCCAUAGAGCAAACCCAGACACUGCUGCGCACAAAGUCAUGUUCUAAAUCUGAAUUGCAGAGAUGUGUCAGGGCGCUGGGAGAAAGCGUGUUUGAAAUGGCGUAUUAAACAGGCAGAAGGAGGAAAGGACAGAAGAUAAUACUACUGCUGAUGAUCUUCAUUUUUACUUUUUAAUGGUGUUUACUACAUGUGUGGAUUAAGGCUGACAAGAAGACAAACCUGCUUCCCCAGCAGACAGUGGAGCUUGUCCUCCUGAAAGAUAUAGGCAGAGAGGUUUCUCUGUUAGCUUGCUGGUUAGUGUCACUGUAGGGAGUACAGAAAAGCAUUUCUUCAAGGCAAUGUAUAGGGAGUUCUGUCAGUGAACUGUAGUCAUUUGUAUGGUGUAUUGGGUUUGCGUGGCAAGGUUUUGGUAGCUGGAGGGCUACAGGGGUGGCUUCUGUGAGAAGCUGCUAGAAGCUUCCCCUGUGUCCAAGAGAGCCAAUGCCAGCCGGCUCCAAGAUGGACUCACUGCUGGCCAAAGCUGAGCCAAUCAGCGACAGUGGUAGUGCCUCUGCGAUAACAUAUUUAAGAAGGGGAAAAAACUGCUGCACAACAGCAGCCGGAAGAGAGGAGUGAGAAUAUGUGAGAGAAACAACUGUGCAGACACCAAGGUCAGUGAAGAAGGAGGGGGAGGAGGUGCUCCAGGCACCGGAGCAGAGAUUCCCCUGCAGCCCAUGAUGAAGACCAUGGUGAGGCAGGCUGCCCCCCUGCAGCCCAUGG